AUCUUGCAAGCGUGUCCCACCAUGCUCCGCGGUGGUAACGGCCUUUGGCGGGAAAGGCGCCGCGGGGCGGAGAUAGAUGACGCUGAGCUGUUGCUCCGGAAACCUGGGCAUCUUCUGCACUUCGGUGCCGCCGGCGGGAGUUGCAGGUGAUUUCAUUUAAAAGCCGAAGCGGAGCAGUGUGGCUUCUGCCUCUGGGAACCUGCGGUGGGCUGCAUCUUAGUUAAAGUGUCUAGACGGAUCCUCCAUAUCUAUCUAAAUGAAAACUGUGCCUUGAGUUUUCCUCUUCCUCCUUUCUAAGGAUGAAAAAGGAAGAGUGAUAAAACAGUUUAACUGCAGAGCCGAGAUCCCGGUUCUGUGCUGGUCUAGGGAGAUUAUUAAUUUAUUUGUUUAUUUUGCCAAGAUUAUCUAUCUGCAAAAGGAUUCUUGCAUUGGAUACCACAAUUUUGCUUCUUUGUUUUGUAAUAACGGGAAUAGAAGAGCCUUACGUGUGAAAUCAUACGGCCUUGUAGUGUUGUUAAUGAACUCGAAUUAUAAUAAAAGCAAACCAAUCUGGACUUAAGCUUGUGUGCCUGAAAUCCUAUCACUCCGGAAGCUGAGGCAAGGAGGGUCCAGCCUACCCUGUUAUACACAGUUCUAGUAAAGGUUAUCCCGGAGCCGGGCAGUGGUGGCGCAUGCCUUUAAUCCCAGCGCUCGGGAGGCAGAGGCAGGCAGAUUUCAGAGUUCGAGGCCAGCCUGGUCUACUGAGUGAGUUCCAGGACAGCCAGGGCUACACAGAGAAACUCUGUCUCGCCAAAAAAACAAAAACAACAACCAAUCUGGACAGUGGCAGAAGAACAGCGGGUAAAUAAAGCUGCCUGCCAUUCAAGACUGGGCCUGACUUAGAACCAUACUGGAAGCAGAGAGCCAUCGGGAAGGUUAUCCUCCCAUCCCCCAUGUAUGCUGUGCAUGUGUAUCGCUACCACCCCUGAACGUCAUAUGCACAUUCAAUAUCAAGUAGUUUUUAUUUUACUAAUGUCUGUAUGUGUGUUCUGGGGAAUCUUAGGUCAUCAGGCUUGUAAGGCCUUUUAUCCACUGAGCCAUUUCCCUUGUUUUAUUUUCUGUGAAACAGGAUCUCAUAUAACCUACCUAGGCUGGCCUCAGAUUUGUUGUCUUGCUGAAAAUGUCCUUGAACUCUUUACUCUUUUUAAAUAAAGGUUUUUUAAAAUU
ensembl:lincRNA 2010015M23Rik RIKEN cDNA 2010015M23 gene